AUUCUGAUAGCUCAGUUGGUAAAGAAUCUGCCUGCAAUGCAGGAGACCCCAGUUCGAUUUCUGGGUUGGAAAG
rnacentral:tRNA from 1 species